GCCGCGUGCAGGAAGACUGCCCUAUGGGUUGUAAACUGCUUUUAUAGAGGAAGAAACCUCCCUACGUGUAGGGAGCUGACGGUACUCUACGAAUAAGGAUCGGCUAACUCCGUGCCAGCAGCCGCGGUAAUACGGAGGAUCCAAGCGUUAUCCGGAAUCAUUGGGUUUAAAGGGUCCGUAGGCGGGCAGUUAAGUCAGUGGUGAAAGUCUUCCGCUCAACGGGAGAAUUGCCAUUGAUACUGAUUGUCUUGAGUCAUUAUGAAGUGGUUAGAAUGAGUAGUGUAGCGGUGAAAUGCAUAGAUAUUACUCAGAAUACCGAUUGCGAAGGCAGAUCACUAAUAAUGUACUGACGCUGAUGGACGAAAGCGUAGGUAGCGAACAGGAUUAGAUACCCUGGUAGUCUACGCCGUAAACGAUGGUUACUAGCUGUUUGGACGAUUGAGUCUGAGUGGCUAAGCGAAAGUGAUAAGUAACCCACCUGGGGAGUACGUUCGCAAGAAUGAAACUCAAAGGAAUUGACGGGGGCCCGCACAAGCGGUGGAGCAUGUGGUUUAAUUCGAUGAUACGCGAGGAACCUUACCAGGGCUUAAAUGCAGUCUGACGUAUCUGGAAACAGAUAUUUCUUCGGACAGAUUGCAAGGUGCUGCAUGGUUGUCGUCAGCUCGUGCCGUGAGGUGUCAGGUUAAGUCCUAUAACGAGCGCAACCCCUGUGGUUAGUUGCCAGCGAGUAAUGUCGGGAACUCUAGCCAGACUGCCGGUGCAAACCGCGAGGAAGGUGGGG
rnacentral:rRNA from 1 species